UCGUUGGAAUAGUUUCAUCUAGCCUAUUUGGGGGACGUUCAGCGGGGCCAACAAAGAUGAAGUGGCCCGCUAUGCUGGGAGCUGGCAAUAGUAAUAUUCAGUAGUGUAAAAGUGGUGCACUGCGAGUGUUUUGGGUUCAAACAUUUGCCACACUGACUGAGACACAAGCGAUGGAAUCCAGCAGCCACGGUGCCGGUCUGGGCAGAGCCAAGGAACAAGUCGGACUGGUUCCCAAAAGGAAAAAGCCUUCUCUCAGCUGAGGUGGAUUCCGUGGAUUCCAGCGAGGGCGCUUUGGCUCGCCGCCGACACCUUACGGGCAAAACGCUGGCGAGGAUGUUUGAGACGCUGAUUUAUACCAACGGUUGCUGACCCGUAACAACCGACGCUGCCUGUAUCGUGCUGUUCGAGUCUCGUCAACGCCAGACGCCUUCCAGAAGGAACAUAAUGCGACACACGUCCUAUAGUGUCCAAUCACAGCUGCAGUCUUCAUUCGGAGGCGGAACUACAAGGUGCCUGCAGUCAAUGACCAGGUCUGAGAGCAUCACGUCCUGACACGCAAGCCAGCCGACGGAGACAUGACAAUGUUUGCGCAAGACAGUGUUGGUGUGCAUCAAAGGGGACGACUCAAAACAAGAUCUUCCAAAAGAAAUUGUUGCCACAUGACGCAGCUUGUGUGUGCAAGGUUGACAUUCUUGCAUAAUCAUUUUCUUUUACACAAACACUCUGAAACCAACUUAAAUCAGAGCAGUGUCGGACACCAUGAAGAGAGAGGGAGCUGGAGAACGAGAGGCAAGGCUGCCAGAAUAAGGCUGAAUAGCCAAAAAGACUUUGCACAUUGACUUCAUUAAAGCAUAUUGUAAAACGC